AGGGAGAAUUUGUCAGAAUAGAGAAAGCUUAAAUUGAUUGCAUCGAACUUGAGGUAAGUGGAUGUUAUGAUUACAUAGUCUAUGUAGUUUUCAAGUGUUUUCCACUAUUUUAGACACAUUUUCAUAUAUAAAGUGCAAUUGAUUAUGAAAGUGAUAUUAUGCUUUAAGUGUUAUUUUGUCCAUGUGUUAUAAAAAGUGAUUCUGAUAAGUGUGCAUCACUCGUUAUCGAGGCAAGCCGUUUUAAAAGUACCUGCAUGUUCCAACAAGUCUGCACUCAGAGAAGAAGGUGUCGGGUCGAUCGCACUGCCCAGCAAGUUGACUACAACAACCGGCUCAAUAACAACUAUGGGCCCAGUCGACGAGAGAGCUGGGCGGACAGCAUAGUGGUAGGGCAUGAGGGUCGCGUGCACGCUUGCGGGCUUCCUUAGCGCGCACGGGUAAAGUGUGACAUGUGGGAGGGAAGGGAAGAGGUGGCAAGCUUUUUGGACUUCUUUUCACCACAUACUCCACGUGAUUUUUAAUCCUAAAUUCAGCACAUUCACAUGGCAAGUAUCUUUUAUUAUUUAAUUAUUAUUAUUUAAUUUAUUUAAAUUUUAAGUCUCUCCAAUGUUUAAUUAUACAAUAUUUUAACAUUAGGGAUAUCCUAAGUUAUUAUUUUAUUAUAUAAUUUAAUCAUAAAGUCUUAUCUUAUUAUUAUUUUAAUGUAAAUUAUAU
rnacentral:lncRNA from 1 species